rnacentral:rRNA from 1 species
GACGAACGCUGGCGGCGUGCUUAACACAUGCAAGUCGAACGGAAAGGCCCCUUCGGGGGUCCUCGAGUGACGAACGGGUGGGUAACACGUGAGUAACCUGCCCUUGACUUCGGGAUAACUUCAGGAAACUGGGGCUAAUACCGGAUAGGAAUCCUUGCUGCAUGGUGGGGGUUGGAAAGCUUCGGCGGGUUUGGAUGGACUCGCGGCUUAUCAGCUUGUUGGUGGGGUAGUGGCUUACCAAGGCUUUGACGGGUAGCCGGCCUGAGAGGGCGACCGGCCACAUUGGGACUGAGAUACGGCCCAGACUCCUACGGGAGGCAGCAGUGGGGAAGAUUGCACAAUGGGCGGAAGCCUGAUGCAGCAACGCCGCGUGCGGGAUGACGGCCUUCGGGUUGUAAACCGCUUUCAGCAGGGGCGAAGCUUGUGGUGACGGUACCUGCAGAAGAAGCACCGGCUAACUACGUG